rnacentral:rRNA from 1 species
GACGAACGCUGGCGGCGUGCUUAACACAUGCAAGUCGAACGGAAAGGCCCUGCUUUUGUGGGGUGCUCGAGUGGCGAACGGGUGAGUAACACGUGAGUAACCUGCCCUUGACUUUGGGAUAACUUCAGGAAACUGGGGCUAAUACCGGAUAGGAGCUCCUGCUGCAUGGUGGGGGUUGGAAAGUUUCGGCGGUUGGGGAUGGACUCGCGGCUUAUCAGCUUGUUGGUGGGGUAGUGGCUUACCAAGGCUUUGACGGGUAGCCGGCCUGAGCGGGUGGCCGGCGGCAGUGGGACUGGGGGAGGGCCGAGAGCCGUCCGGGGGGGAGCAGGGGGGAAGAGGGCGCAAUGGGCGGAAGCGUGAUGCAGCGGCGGCGCGUGCGGGAGGCCGGCCGGCGGGGUGGAAACAGCGUUCGCCGGUGACGAAGCGUGCGUGACGGUAAUGGAUAAAGAAGCACCGGCUAACUACGUG